AUUAUAGGUUCAUUAUACAAAACUCAGUUUUCUUCUGUACUCUAUAACCUAUUGUGGCUAAUUUAGGUACAGAGUAUUUUUUUUUAUCUUCAAUUGAUAUCAUUCCCUUGAUGGACCUUUGAUCAUAUGGUUUUCUCUAUGAAUCAUGUACUCGAAUGGAAAACCGGAGGUUUCACAUUGUCUCCUUGCUUGCGAGGUACUUAGUCCAAGGGAGUUUCCAAAAUUUUGUCAAGUUAGCUUGCCACUACGAACACCGGAACUCACUAUGUGACCGUGCAAUGGUGCUUCUUUGGAAACCACAUAUUAGCAAUGUCACUGGCUUCUUAUCCGAUUGCUGCAGGAAGGCU